rnacentral:rRNA from 1 species
UACGUAGGGUGCGAGCGUUAAUCGGAAUUACUGGGCGUAAAGCGUGCGUAGACGGUUAUGUAAGUCGGGUGUGAAAGCCCCGGGCUCAACCUGGGAAUGCCAUUCGAGACUGCAUAGCUAGGGUGCGGAAGAGGGAAGCGGAAUUUCCGGUGUAGCGGUGAAAUGCGUAGAUAUCGGGAGGAACACCUGUGGCGAAAGCGGCUUACUAGACGACAACUGACGCUGAGGCGCGAAAGCUAGGGGAGCAAACAGG